rnacentral:rRNA from 1 species
GAUGAACGCUAGCGGCAGGCUUAACACAUGCAAGUCGAGGGGUAACAUAGUUGCUUGCAACUGAUGACGACCGGCGCACGGGUGCGUAACGCGUAUAGAACCUACCUUUUAGUAAGGGAUAGCCCAGAGAAAUUUGGAUUAAUACCUUAUAGUAUCAAAAAGCAGCAUUGCUUAUUGAUUAAAGAUUUAUUGCUAAAAGAUGGCUAUGCGUUCUAUUAGUUAGUUGGUAAGGUAACGGCUUACCAAGACAUCGAUAGAUAGGGGCCCUGAGAGGGGGAUCCCCCACACUGGUACUGAGACACGGACCAGACUCCUACGGGAGGCAGCAGUGAGGAAUAUUGGACAAUGGAGGCAACUCUGAUCCAGCCAUGCCGCGUGUAGGAAGACUGCCCUAUGGGUUGUAAACUACUUUUAUAGAGGAAGAAACCCCGAUAUGUAUAUCGGUUUGACGGUACUCUACGAAUAAGGAUCGGCUAACUCCGUGCCAGCAGCCGCGGUAAUACGGAGGAUCCAAGCGUUAUCCGGAAUCAUUGGGUUUAAAGGGUCCGUAGGCGGGUCUGUAAGUCAGUGGUGAAAGUUUUCGGCUCAACCGGAAAAUUGCCAUUGAUACUGCAGGUCUUGAAUCAUUAUGAAGUGGUUAGAAUAAGUAGUGUAGCGGUGAAAUGCAUAGAUAUUACUUAGAAUACCGAUUGCGAAGGCAGAUCACUAAUAAUGUAUUGACGCUAAGGGACGAAAGCGUGGGUAGCGAACAGGAUUAGAUACCCUGGUAGUCCACGCCGUAAACGAUGGUUACUAGCUGUUCGGACUUCGGUUUGAGUGGCUAAGCGAAAGUGAUAAGUAACC